rnacentral:rRNA from 1 species
CAAUCAUAUGCUUGUCUCAAAGAUUAAGCCAUGCAUGUCUAAGUAUAAGUUUUUAUACAACGAAACUGCGGAAAGCUCAUUAUAUCAGUUUUAAUCUAUUUGUUCAUUUUCUAUUGGAUAACUGUAGGAAUUCUAGAGCUAAUACAUGUAUCAAAUCCGGCUAAAUUAAACUUAAAAGGACGUCUUUAUCUACUUGAAACCAAUUUGAAGUGAAUUCAGUAAACAAACAAAUCGCAAUCACAAGAUUGUGAUAAUACAAACGAGUUUCUGCCCUAUCAACUGAACCGUAGUUUAGGGGACUACGGUGGUGAUAACGGGUACGGGGAAUUAGGGUUCGAUUCCGGAGAGGGAGCCUGAGAAACGGCUACCACUUCCAAGGAAGGCAGCAGGCGCGCAAAUUAUCCAAUCCCAAUUCGGGGAGAUAGUGACAAUAAAUAUUGAUGUAAAAUCUACGAGAUUUUACGAUUGGAAUGAGAACACUGUAAACAAUUUAUCGAGGAACAAUU